GGGAUGGAGAUAAGGAUGAUCCGGUAGAUGAUGGCGAUGGUGAAUCCCAUUCAAUUAUGCGCCUGAUGACACUGUCGUCCUCUGCUGUUUGCUUUGGCUGCAUACGAGGCAGAGUCAUAGGCUGUGAACUCCAUGGGUCUGCUGCGGCCCCCAUGGCGAAUUGAGAGUGCAGAGUCUUUUCAGGACAUGGGGGUCAUGUGGCCACCUGUGGCUGUUCCCCCCCGCAAGCCAAGCCAUCGGCCAUGGCGGUAAGAAAUUGGAUACGAAGGAAUGCCAGUCAGGUGUGAGAUGAAGAAGCCCCGACAGUCCAUGACGCAGCAGGUGGAGGAACCCAACCUUGACUGACCCAGAAAGGGCAGAACCCAACCCUUUCCAACGAGUUGCUUGUGGAACAAUUCAG
rnacentral:lncRNA from 1 species